UGAAAAACCAAGUGACUAUUGCAGAUAUGUAGCCUUUUGGUUAGUGCUCUUGAUUUGUAAAUUUGUUUUUGCUUACUUUCUCCAGAUUCAACCACUUGUCCAACCAACCACUAUUAUUGUCAACCUUCCAUCUCUUGAAUAUUCAUGGCAUUCUUUCAUUUCGAAAAAUAACAAUAAUGUGUCGACUGUAGUUAGUUUAUGGGCUCCUG
rnacentral:misc_RNA from 1 species